CGGCCGCGUCGACCGUGGGGAGUACGGCCGCAAGGUUAAAACUCAAAUGAAUUGACGGGGCCCGCACAAGCGGUGGAGCAUGUGGUUUAAUUCGAUACAACGCGAAGAACCUUACCUGGUCUUGACAUAUCUAGAAUCCUGCAGAGAUGCGGGAGUGCCUUCGGGAAUUAGAAUACAGGUGCUGCAUGGCUGUCGUCAGCUCGUGUCGUGAGAUGUUGGGUUAAGUCCCGCAACGAGCGCAACCCUUGUCCUUAGUUACCAGCGGGUUAAGCCGGGAACUCUAAGGAUACUGCCAGUG
rnacentral:rRNA from 1 species